UAGGACCCUAUGGGAAAUACAUAAAAAUGUCUUCUUUUAGAGAACCACUGAAUGGAAUAGAACCAAACAUGGCAUGAAUGUUCCUUAUGAGAUGCUGACCAAGUGUUGUUACUUUGCAGUCGGUCCAUCAUCCAAGAUGGCCGCCAGCGGGGGACUUAGUUUAACAUAGGACCCUAUGGGAAAUACAUACAAAUGUCUUCUUUUAGAGAACCACUGAAUGGAACGAAACCAAACAUGGCAUGAAUGUUCCUUAUGAGGUUCUGACCAAGUGUUGUUACUUUGUAGCUGAUCCAUCAUCCAAGAUGGCCGCCAGCGGGGGACUUAGUUUAACAUAGGACCCUAUGGGAAAUACAUACAAAUGUCUUCUUUUAGAGAACCACUGAAUGGAACGAAACCAAACAUGGCAUGAAUGUUCCUUAUGAGGUUCUGACCAAGUGUUGUUACUUUGUAGCUGAUCCGUCAUCCAAGAUGGCCGCCAGCGGGGGACUUAGUUUAACAUAGGACCCUAUGGGAAAUACAUACAAAUGUCUUCUUUUAGAGAACCACUGAAUGGAAUGAAACAAACAUGGCAUGAAUGUUCCUUAUGAGGUGCUGACCAAGUGUUGUUACUUUGCAGUAGGUCCAUCAUCCAAGAUGGCCGACAGCAGGGGACUUAGUUUAACAAAGGACCUAUGGGAAAUACAUACAAAUGUCUUCUUUUAGAGAACCACUGAAUGGAAUGAAACCAAACAUGGCAUGAAUCUUCCUUAUGAGAUGCUGACCAAGUGUUGUUACUUUGUAGCCGAUCCAUCAUCCAAGAUGGCCGCCAGCGGGGGACUUAGUUUAACAUAGGACCCUAUGGGAAAUACAUACAAAUGUCUUCUUUUAGAGAACCACUGAAUGGAACGAAACCAAACAUGGCAUGAAUGUUCCUUAUGAGGUUCUGACCAAGUGUUGUUACUUUGUAGCUGAUCCAUCAUCCAAGAUGGCCGCCAGCGGGGGACUUAGUUUAACAUAGGACCCUAUGGGAAAUACAUACAAAUGUCUUCUUUUAGAGAACCACUGAAUGGAACGAAACCAAACAUGGCAUGAAUGUUCCUUAUGAGGUGCUGACCAAGUGUUGUUACUUUGCAGUAGGUCCAUCAUCCAAGAUGGCCGACAGCAGGGGACUUAGUUUAACAAAGGACCUAUGGGAAAUACAUACAAAUGUCUUCUUUUAGAGAACCACUGAAUGGAAUGAAACCAAACAUGGCAUGAAUCUUCCUUAUGAGAUGCUGACCAAGUGUUGUUACUUUGUAGCCGAUCCAUCAUCCAAGAUGGCCACCAGCGGGGGACUUAGUUUUAUAUAGGACCCUUUGGGAAAUACAUAAAAAUGUCUUCUUUUAGAGAACCAAUAAAUGGAAUGGAACCAAACAUGGCAUGAAUGUUCCUUAUGAGAUGUUGACCAAGUGUUGUUACUUUGCAGCCGAUCCAUCAUCCAAGAUGGCCGCCAGCGGGGGACUUAGUUUAACAUAGGACCCUAUGGGAAAUACAUACAAUUGUCUUCUUUUAGAGAACCACUGAAUGGAAUUGAACCAAACAUGGCAUGAAUGUUCCUUAUGAGUUGCAGACCAAGUGUUGUUACUUUGCAGUCGAUCCAUCAUCCAAGAUGGCCGCUAGGGGGGGGGGCUUAGUUUUACAUAGGACCCUAUUGGAAAUACAUACAAAUGUCUUCUUUUAGAGUACCACUGAAUGGAAUGAAACCAAACAUGGCAUGAAUGUUCCUUAUGAAGUGCUGACCAAGUGUUGCUACUUUGUUGCCGAUUUACUGUUCAAGAUGGCCACCAGGAUAUUUUAUUAAAUAAUGGGACCAAUAUUAAUCAAAAUUUGGCCUCAAUCAUUAUUUUGGUAUCUGUUAUGAUUUUUAUCUAUCUUUACAUGAUUUCUAAAACAAAGUAGAGUCAGGUGAGCGACACAGGCUCUUGAGAGCCUCUAGUUUAUUUU